rnacentral:rRNA from 1 species
CGGACGGGUGAGUAAUGUCUGGGAAACUGCCUGAUGGAGGGGGAUAACUACUGGAAACGGUAGCUAAUACCGCAUAACGUCGCAAGACCAAAGAGGGGGACCUUCGGGCCUCUUGCCAUCGGAUGUGCCCAGAUGGGAUUAGCUAGUAGGUGGGGUAACGGCUCACCCAGGCGACGAUCCCUAGCUGGUCUGAGAGGAUGACCAGCCACACUGGAACUGAGACACGGUCCAG